CCCCUCUCAGAAUCGCACCUGGAGAGUUUCCAAUACUUUACCAGUCUCAACUACAGGAGGGAGAGUCACGCAGAGACCUAACCAUUCCAUUCCUAGUUUGGGCAGGGGCUAAAGAGUGGAAGGCAAUCUGCAACAAGU
rfam:Ornithorhynchus anatinus chromosome 12, whole genome shotgun sequence.